AGGACGAACGCUGGCGGCGUGCUUAACACAUGCAAGUGGAGCGACGAACCAGGGCUUGCCCUGGGGCAGAGCCGCGAACGGGUGAGUAACACGUGGGUUACCUGCCUCGAUGACCGGGACAACCCGAGGAAACUCGGGCUAAUACCGGAUGUGCCCGCAAGGGGAAAGGAAGCUUCGGCCUCCGCAUCGAGAUGGGCCCGCGGCCCAUUAGCUUGUUGGUGAGGUAACGGCUCACCAAGGCUUCGAUGGGUAGCUGGUCUGAGAGGACGAUCAGCCACACUGGGACUGAGACACGGCCCAGACUCCUACGGGAGGCAGCAGUGGGGAAUCUUGCGCAAUGCGCGAAAGCGUGACGCAGCAACGCCGCGUGGGGGAAGAAGGCUUUCGGGUUGUAAACCCCUUUCAGUUGGGACGAAGCUUCUUCGGUGAACAGCCGAACGGAGUGACGGUACCUUCACAAGAAGCACCGGCUAACUACGCGCCAGCAGCCGCGGU
rnacentral:rRNA from 1 species